GGAGCAGAAGAUAUGUUUAACAACGGCAUUUGGAGGAACCUUCUUGUUAAAAGGUGCAAUGUAAACUCGUCACAUCUAAAUGCCCGUGCUAGCGCAUCUAUAACCUGGAAAGGCAAUUGAUUAUCAUACAAUAAUAGGUCACGGCGCACCAAAUCUCUGUCACGUUUCUUCAUAUUCAACCAGCUCCUCUUGCCGCUAGUAAUUAUAUUGUCGUUGUAGAUGAAUUCAAUAAUAAAGCAGGCGUCGAGGAACACCAUCUGACACCACAUACCGUCAUCCGCUUGUUUGAACAGAGGAGAGUAACAGUUCUUUGUUUUGAGCAAGUGUUCUUCAACACUUGCAUACACCUGUUCAAUGGAUACAUCGCCUUUUACUCUUUCUGCUAAUUCCCUCAGUGCUUUCCGCUUGAAAUCCUCCAUGGGCUUAACAUGAGGUAAUUCGUGGUGGCGUGGACCAAUGGAAACCACAAUGGGACCAUAGAACCUGAGAUAAUAUUCCUUUGCCAUAAGAUCGGUAAUUGUAGAAGGAAUACUGAAAUGUAUUUCUUGUUUCAACUCUUCAUGUGGUGCUGUACCUACUGUACCUACUGAAGAGCCAGGUAUAUCAAUGAUAGAAUGUAACCAUUUAACCAUUUCGGCUGCUCUACUGUUGGGAGCAUUAGCCUCAUGAAUCGACAUUUGAUAUAUAUAUAUAUAUAUGUAUAUGCUGAUUGAUGAUAAGAUCAGUUGGACAAUUUAGGCAUAUAUAUACCGAGAAUGAAAAUUACGAAUCUACAGUAAGAUCUUGCUCUUCAAUCAGUAUCUGCAAAAAGCUACAAGUUUUUAUAGCUUUACUUCGAUACCAAGUCUGGCAUCUUUUGCAUUAAGAGUGCCUUUAUUCUCAACUUAACAUAUGAACAAAGGUAGAUUCUAGUAUUCUACACUUCCUGUCAUUUAAUAUCAUUAGUAUUUUUUUUCUUGGAUAAUCGUGGUGUUCGGGUCAGCUUGUACGCAUCUCCACUGGUUCUACAGAACGCAUCAAUUCUAUGGCAAUGUUUGUUUAUAGACCAAAGUUUCUACGAAAUGCAGCUAGAUUCAUAAUUCAUAAUAAAUGCCGGCUUAAAAGCUUAGUAUUUUGGUUUGAGCAUGUGAAGAGGAGAUAUGCAAAUGGCCUAGUGAGCAUAUGUGAGAGGAUGGAUUUAGUGGAUACGAGGAGAGGUAGAUUUAGGCCGAAGAUGUAUUGGAGAGAGGUGACUAGACAUGAAAUGACCAACAUCAGCUUACCGAGGACAUGACUUUAUAUAAGAGCGUAUGGAGGUCAUAGAUUAGGAUAGAAGGUUAGUACGUAGUUGAGCGUUGGUUUGCUUUAAAAUAGAAUUAAGCUCGGUGGUAGUCUAGUGCACCGUUUCAGUCAUAGUAUUAGCCUUAUUCAUGUAGUUGCUUGUUUCUGUUGUCUGUCACCAUCGUUGUUUUUCCUUUAGAUCUUCACCAAAAUGUUACUGUAAAAUAGGAUAAGACUGCGUACAAUAGAUCCUACGGUCCAGCCCUUUCUCGAACCACUCACAUAGCAGGAGCUUAGUACCCCGAGCUGGGCUUCCCUUCAGCGCAUGACGACAACUUCUGUUUUUAUCGCUUGAACAGCCAAAGCUUUGCGCAAGCAAAUUGCAUGUUUCUUCAGAGAGUUAUUUGGAAGAUACUAGGAUUAGGAUGUACAUAAUAGUACUAAAUGAACCUCCACGAUUCAAUAAUACAACAUUAAUAGUUGGUGUAUCGACAACUAUUUCUCGAGCACAGAUUUAGUGGGAAAGUAAAAUGGAGGACCUGACAACACAUCUUUACAUACCAAAAACAACACGAUGACCUUUUUUAUUUUGGGGUAACGGAGGAUCAACUUUCUUAGCAGAUUUUUGGUUUUAUCGGAUCCUUACGUCAUUUGUUGGAGAUGGGGAGCCAUGGCACUAUGGUAAAAGAUGUCAUCGUAUGACCAGGAGCUCAUGAUUUGAAUAAGAUAUCUGCAUAAGGAAUCGCAACAUGGCUGCAACUCUAUAAUCAUACAUGGACUAUAGGCCUAAGUCUGAGCUGAACUAAAUUCUCUCACCAUGUUCAAGCCUACUCAAAGUCACUCGGUACCACAAAUAACACCAUAAUACUAGUGUAAACCACGGAUUCAAUACCCUAUGCGCUUUCGCAUCUCUCAUCUCAAGAAUAAUACUCCUUACCACGACAACAAUGCAUUUAUCCACGUAUAUACAGACGUGACAUUCAAGCCUAUUAUUCACAUAUGAAUUUCCAGGCAACCAACCCACCUAGAAAUUCUUCCACAUUCUCAAAUAUCUCUUGUCAAUAACAACUCCCAUGCACUAUACCCAAUAAAACACGCAUAGAAUUCUCAACCAACCAUGAUCUACACCAAAAGCUUUACCUCAAUCUUCCUUCAACUUUGUAGCCUUGCAUAAAACAAGCAUACAACAAUCUUUCCUCAACAGGAAACAUCUACUCUCUCCCAUCUAAACCAUUGAUCAUCAAUUUUUCAUCGCCACUACCUUAACAUAAGGAGAGGUCACUGAAAGGUUAGAACAUGAGGACCUAAAGCAUGAAAGAAUACUAUGCAUAACGUGACACUUAACUGAGGCCUGAGGAAUAGAGUAUCAAAGGCAUGAAUUCAUUAAAGAGAUCUAAUCUGAGGACGUACAUGACAUAAUCUGAGUUUCGCUCAUCACUAAGAGUGCAUCAUGAGUUAUGGGAACUGAGCAUACUGUAAACCAUGUACAUGAGUCAUGAGCUGCGUGACCUGAGUUUGGAGUUCAUAAAUUCAUGGAAUAGAUUUAUACUGCUGAGUGAAUGGGAACUCCUCGUACUCUGAACUGAAAGCGUACAUGAUUCUAGAGAAAGUGCAUGAAGAUGAGCUAUGAUCAUAGAGCUGACUUGUAAGGCUUGAGUACAUGUCGUGAUAACUGAAGUACAACAAUUCGCACUGAGAUGAUAAUGGGUUGGGCAUCUUUCUCCCCUACUGAUGUUCUACAACACACUGGCAUCACUACUAGAAUAUGAGAGCCUGACUUGGUUCCUUGUUCUAUCAUCUCCCCCUUAGAUUUAAGCCGCUAUUCUAAAUUUGUGGACCCCUUUAAUAAACUAAACUGAAUUAAUACUUCCUUCUAUGAUAGAACUCUUUAACUUUUAAUAUCCCGAAUUAUCAUUCUAUAAUAACUCAAAUACUGACAAAUUUAGAAUUCUUAGGAAGUAUCACCAUACCCUGAGUUUACACAAUCUAGAAUUUCAACUCUUCUUUCUAUUAGCUCAAUCCUCCAAGAUUCAAACUUUGAUUCUAACACAUAACAUGGAUAUCCCCAAAUGCUAACUUCAUUCUUGAACACACCCUUAACAUAUAUCAUCCUUAACAUCCUUAAAAGUGGCUAUUCCUCAAGAUUCGUCGAAUAAUGAGAAAUUACAAUUACAUACAAAUUUGCAGUUGAACAAAGCUUAGUUAUUGUUUUAUUCAAAUACAACAACAAUCAAAAUACAACUUAUGAAUAUACAGUAGCUCAAGAAAAAGUGGAAUGAAAUGUAGAUACGAGUAUACAGUCAGUCUAUUUGUAAGUCUGAAUGGCUGUGAGGACAGUCUGAAUUACAGUCAUACCAACCGUGAAAAUAACAGCAAGGAACACAAGGAAACUCCAAGGACCACUAAAAUACCUUUGCUUCAUUUCAGCACGGGCAACUACUAGAGGGAAGCGUUUACUUCUGAAGUAAGUAGAAAUCUGUCGUUUGACAUUCCUAAUAGCUUGAGGAUUUAACUCAGUAGGUGCUGACAUUUCUCUCAAGAAUCUAAUCAGUUCACCAUCGCCAGCAGCGAUGUUCAUCUGGAUUAUUCCUCUGGCUCGCAGCUCCUUAACAUCUUCCUCUCCAUUAAUUAACAUACACAUGAAAUUCAAGUAAGAUAAAAACCCAAAAGAUCUAUUUUGGGAUCUAUUCUGUAAGCUGCAUGCAUAUUCAUAAGCAACUAGGUUAUGAAAAAGGUACAGAGUCCAUUCAUCGAUCGUUAGUUUUGGAAGGAAUAACAUUCCUGAUAAGAUGGAUGACUCAAAGCGGAUGCCUUUGGAAAGAUCNNNNNNNNNNNNNNNNNNNNNNNNNNNNNNNNNNNNNNNNNNNNNNNNNNNNNNNNNNNNNNNNNNNNNNNNNNNNNNNNNNNNUGGAGCAGAAGAUAUGUUUAACAACGGCAUUUGGAGGAACCUUCUUGUUAAAAGGUGCAAUGUAAACUCGUCACAUCUAAAUGCCCGUGCUAGCGCAUCUAUAACCUGGAAAGGCAAUUGAUUAUCAUACAAUAAUAGGUCACGGCGCACCAAAUCUCUGUCACGUUUCUUCAUAUUCAACCAGCUCCUCUUGCCGCUAGUAAUUAUAUUGUCGUUGUAGAUGAAUUCAAUAAUAAAGCAGGCGUCGAGGAACACCAUCUGACACCACAUACCGUCAUCCGCUUGUUUGAACAGAGGAGAGUAACAGUUCUUUGUUUUGAGCAAGUGUUCUUCAACACUUGCAUACACCUGUUCAAUGGAUACAUCGCCUUUUACUCUUUCUGCUAAUUCCCUCACUGCUUUCCGCUUGAAAUCCUCCAUGGGCUUAACAUGAGGUAAUUCGUGGUGGCGUGGACCAAUGGAAACCACAAUGGGACCAUAGAACUUGAGAUAAUAUUCCUUUGCCAUAAGAUCGGUAAUUGUAGAAGGAAUACUGAAAUGUAUUUCUUGUGUCAACUCUUCAUGUGGUGCUGUACCUACUGUACCUACUGAAGAGCCAGGUAUAUCAAUGAUAGAAUGUAACCAUUUAACCAUUUCGGCUGCUCUGCUGUUGAGAGCAUCAGAAUCAUGAAUCGACAUCUAAGAUAUAUAUCACCAAGAGUACAAUAGAGAGGUUACAAAAUUAGAGUAGUCACUCUAAUUAACCCAAAUAUCCCAAGAGAACAACCUCACAAGAUCGAUCACUACAAAAGAAAGGGAUCACAAAAGUGUUUCCCAACACCCACUCUCUAACUAAAUACACUAAUAAGGGAGAAUAAAUACAAGAGAAUGAAAGAAAAC
rnacentral:lncRNA from 1 species